GCCUGGGUGGCUCAGUCGGUUGAGCAUCUGACUUCGGCUCAGGUCAUGAUCCUGUGCUCCAUGGGUUCGAGACCCGCGUUGGGCU
rnacentral:tRNA from 1 species